rnacentral:lncRNA from 1 species
UGUGUGCAGUCCGUCUGUCCGAUGAUUAGCCAGCCGACCUGGAGAGGGCCCUGGAAGGUGCCCAAAGAGCUGGCCCGGCGAAGACAGACCUCCUGGACUUGAGGCCGACUUCACCAAAUCCGCCCCGGGAAAAGGCGAGGGCAAAGGCGGGGCGGACAGACCCAGCUGCGGCUGAGGGACUGCGGUCCCUAGCAAGGAGCAGAGAUGGGGAGCUGGAUCCGCGCAGAACCCCGGAAAAGCGCCAGCAGGAUUGCACCGAGAACAAAUCCUCCGCACCCUCGCCCAGGGCUGGGGCGCAGUGCGCUGGUGCUCCUCUAGCUGGGCGGUCCCUGUGCUCCAAACGAGAAGAUAGCUGACUUCCGAAUCCUUCACUCUUUGAUCCUGACCCAAGCCACUCGUGCCACUAGGAGCGCAUGCCUAUGGAAUACUCGCUCCUGUCUCCUUGUGGUGAAGCCUUCCGCUAAUGCCCAGAGCCUCCCAGGCUGGAUUAGUGGGUAGGAGCAAAACAGGAUAGUGGAGACAAUCAGCAGAGCAGCAGCGUCUAUUUCCUCGGGAUUCCUCCCAGGAACCCUAUUCGAAGCCAUUCCUUCUAAAAGUUUGCAGCCAGUCUCUCUUUCCUUUGUUGGUUUUAAGAGGAGGCAGUAGAGCUACCUACAUACAAAAACGAAAGCCUGAUACUGGUAACCUAAGUCUUUACUUAACCAUCCUCUUCGGAGGCUUUGCACACAUUACUUUUCCUCUAUGCAUUGUCAUUUCUGAAAUAAGGAUGGUCAUACUGGUGUGCUUGGAAUUUCUCUGAAAUAUACUCCUAAAAGAUUAGAUUAAGAUUAGAUUCCGCUACUCUAAAAUGAAAAAAAAUAUUUAUCUGUUUAAAAAGGUAAUACAUAUUCUCCAAGAUGUUAAUUAAAGGCUUCCCUCAAAUGGAUUGGAUUUUCAGUUCCUUCAGGGUUUUCCACACCCUAAUAGUAUUGCAUUUGUAAGGCAUUUUUACAGUGUAACCUGAAAUUAAUCUUCAGUUAAUAUAGAAUUAUGCCCACAGGAGUAUAGGAAUUGUUUAUAAAACAAAGCAGCCUGGGCUUUUCAAAUACCUAGAAACAAAGGUAAACAGAAAUGGAAAUAUUUAACAUGUUCUACACAGUUCCACUUAAAGUCUUUUAGUAGUUGUUUUUGUUUUGUUUUGUUUUGUUUGUUUUUUCCUUAAGAAAGUACUCUUUGCCCAAAUAUGUGUUAUAUGUGACAGGUUCCAUUCUUCUCAAUAUAUCUGCAUUGGUGAAGAAUGAACCAUAUACCAAUAAGUUAUAACUUUAAAAGAGUAGAAAUGGAUUUAAACAACGACCACAAAAACAAAUCAAAUAUCCAGCAAAACAGAUGAGUGUUGUCUUUUAGAGCAAUUGCUUUGGAAAAUUCAACUGAUUUCACUGACAUUGAUUGCACAAAACACAUUUUAUCUUCUUUAAAAUUGCCUUUCAGAAGCGUAUUAGCAGCCAUAACCAACUAUUUGCCUCACUCUCUUAUAGACGUGUGUUUGUCUUAGUAGAUUCAUAUAGUUCCACAGACAUCUAGUCAGCAACCUCAAAAGAGUAAAUGGUCUCUAUGAUUAAUGUCCUUUAAUAAAGUUCAGAAUUGGAUGAGAA